GUGUGAAUAGUCACAGUAGACUAUUCUGCCUACAUUUUUGGAUAUCAAGUAAAUGUAUAAUAUAUAGUUUGUAAAGAAUGUCAAUUUAGGAAUGUAUACUUCAGGAUAUGGAUAUAGAUAUCUGGUAUACAGCACAGACAAAUUCUUCAUAGCAUAUUUCAGUAUCCAGGAAUUUAUAUGUCUUCUGUGUUUAUCAGUGGAAAGUAAAAAUAACUCAUUAUCUUGAUUAUCCUUUUCACUGUAUGUCACUCAUGUAUGCAGAUAUGAACAGAACUCUAAAAUGUACUGAAGAGCAGUGCAAAAUUUGUAUCUGUUCUAUCUUGGCUUGGCACAGUGAAUAAUUUUUUUCUCCUUUUCGCUCCUCUAGAGCAGAUCUCUGAAAGAGUCAUAUAAAAUUAUAUGCUUUAUUGGAUAUGUUGAAAUCAAAACAAACACAAAAAAACAAACCAAUCACUUUUGGGCCCAGACUUUCAUCAGACCCUUUAUUGUGGCUAGACUCUAACAAUAAUUUUGUCCUGCCCAGGUUCAGGCAAGCCUACGUUGUGUUUUCGCAGGUAAAUAAGCAAUCAUCUGCGAUCAAGCUUUACCUUUCCUCAGGGAGCAAUCUUUGUAAAGUCCCGGCACUCAGCCAGUGCUCUUAUUGUUGUGGUAACAGAUUUAAAAAUGAAAAAAUUAAAAAAACAAUAAUCUUCUUAAAGAUUAUUAAGAAACAUACAAACAAACAAACAAACAAAGACCUUAACAAGACAGUACUGUUAGGCUUCUUCUUUAGAAUUUUCAUUGUGGUCUCAGUGGCUUCUCCUGAGCUAAUUAGGAUCUAUCUGGGCUCUCUAUUUAUCUUUUAUGUUGAAGUUGUCCAUAUCUUGAAAUGGCUGAUUCAAGAAAAAUAAAACUGAACUGCCUUGUUUUAAAAAAAGUAUUUCUACUGGAAGUAGAAUGAAGAUCACAUCAUUAUGGGUGGUUCACAUCACAAAUUUUGACACAAAUAAUUUUAAGAAGUGUCUAAAAUUCUAUCAAUAAUACUUUUACCACAUAUAUAAACAUAGCUGGGGAAAGUGCUAGGAGAGAUGUGAGAACAAGCAGUCCAAAUAUCUUAUUGUACCAAGGAAAUUAUAAAUACAGACAUGUGGCAGUAAUCAAACUAAACAGCUUUCAUCCUGAUGUUAGCUGACGUACAAACCAUAACAGCCCUAGCAGGUAAGAGUGCAGGAUCACAGAGGUAGGUACACAAAGGGGAGAAUCUGAUGAGACUUUCUGAUUCUGAGAUAAUUACUUGCUUUUCCAAUCAUCAUAAAUUAGAAAUGACAUAAAUUAGAAAUCAGAAUAAUAAAGAUGAUUUUGGAAGGUCUAACUAAAACUCUGGCAGCAUAGAACUCAAUAUGUCAGUUCUCCUUCAUAGUAAGAUUGGGAUUUGUUGACAACACUGUGUGUUGAUUUAUCCUUACCAUCCAAGUUUUAUCAUCAAGGUUUAUAAUGUAAAACAAUGCCCAAGGAUAUCAAUACCUUCUAUAGCUAACUUACUAUACAAGUUGCAAACAAAAAUCUGCAAUUUCUUUUUAUUAUUAUUAUUAUUUAUUUUAUUUUUUGCUUGCUUUGCUACAAGCAUAUGGGCUGUGCCAGCUCCAGUGCAGAUUAUGGGAUUAUGUCACUGUUUAUUCUCAUAUGUAAUUGAAUAUCCCAAAUGCUUGUUCCUAUUGGUAGACUAUUCAGUAAUGACAGGUAUAGAAGUGGGAAGUAUUGCAAUAGCAGGAACAUGUUCUGAAAAAUAAUUAACAUUAUUAUUAAAAAUUUUUGCCAAGCUAUCCUAAUUCCACAUAUGGCGCACAUAUCUUCCAAAUAAGAAAACACUGCCAGAGCUUUAAGUAACAGCCCUCCAGUGUUGGUUGGCUGCUUCCUGUAUGUGAUGUAAUUGUGAAUCAUAAUCUAUGAGAAAGUUACUUAGUCUUACUAAUAGAAUAGCCUUUCUGAAAGUAUUUUGCUAAUCUUUUGGGGAGAAAAAAAAAAAUUAAGCUAAAUUUUUACACUGAAUGAAGAGUUGGGGGCAUCCUUAGCUAAAUAACAACUUUGUUUAUCAAGAGAUAAAAGUACGUCCUUAGCAGAGCUUGGAGUUUAAACUCUUAUCUUAACUCAUACUUAAAGACAUACUGCAGAUACAUGGCAAAUAUUGUGACUCAGCAGACAUCAAUUUUUGAGUGAGACUAAAGCAUUUACAGAACUUAAAGGACUGAUAAACACUUUUUUUCCAGGAGCUGGGAUAGCUUCUACCACAUUCUGACCAAACUCCAGUCCAGAGUAUCUAACUGUCUGAUACUUACUGAGUACUCCAUUAAAUUUCAUUAGCUGUAUGCAGUGUGGUCUUCCUAACCUACACACCUGUUUACAGCAAGGAAGUUCUAACCACAGUUGAGGAAAGACAUACAUAUGAAGCUUUUGCUUUCUCUGAUUUGAUACUCAUGAAGUAUACUUAAUGUGUUUCUCAGAAGUUUAGGUUUUCUUCUAGUCUAUGGUCACAACAUACAUCCUGUCAGUUGUUACAUCAGUAUAAUCCUUUUGAAAAAAAUAAUAUUUUCCUCAGUUCUGCAUCCCUCCUGGAAACAGAUGCUGACUUCAGUGCUCCACUUGCUAAGGAUAAUGAUGCUACCUGUGCAAUCCAUAUCUGAUAGGAUUAUCCAAACUCCUUUCUUCCCUACAAUUUAUGGUUGAAAGUUCAAACAAGAAAAGAUAGACAGCAUGUUUGGUUCUACUCCAAACAAUACUGAAGUCUGUGAGGUCUGAAAUCAGUCUGCAUUUGAAAGGUGGAAGUUCCUUCCUUCAAGAAGAGUCAGGAACAGGAAAUAUCAGAAUUCUCUGUAAUGGAAAUUAUGCUCAUGAUAAGGUAAAAGUUUUAAGAGAAAAAAAAAUGAAUUGUAUAGUAACAUGUUUAUCUUUUUUAUUUUGCUUGGUUCAUCACUUAAAAUAUGGUUAAUACAAAAACUGAUACUUUUAUGUCUGUAUUAGAUUAAAAGGAAAGUAUGAUAGAAGGAACAUUCAUGCCUGAGUGAUCUCUACACCUUCUACUGCAUGUAGAUUUUAUUCCUGGUAAACUUCUUGAUUUUCACUUCCCUUUCUCUUUUCCCUUUCACCCAUUUUCACGAAUUUUUUAUCACCCCUUAUCUUUCACAAGACUAAUGUGGCAUGGAUCCAUUGAAGGAUUGCUUUCAAGCCUUUUUUCUUGUCUAUCUGUACUAGGAUGCUCUCCACGCUAACUCACUGAGGUUAGGAUGGUUUUCUUUUUGAUUCUAAGCUUGUGCUUUAAUACUCCACCUUCUAAGUGGGAGUUGUUUAUUAAGAAAAAUGAGCAGACAUUUCAAAUCAAAGAACUUGCUUGACAAGAAGCAGAAAAGAGAUGUAAGAUUGGUUGGUGCACUCUAGCUAAACGGGAUGUUGCUACUUCCUCUCACUGACACCUAGUUUGCCCUCCUAGAUGCUGGUGUUAAAUAUCAAGCAAGUGCAGAGUGAUUUCUUUUGGCUGCUGAGAAGGAUUCUUCUGGAGUCUAUGUGGCAUAAAGAAUGAAAGAUCAGUUACCUAGUGCAGAAAUAAACACUAUAGCUUACAUUUCUAAUCUGAAACCAAAUCUUUAACACAUGAAUGCACUUGCAUAUAAACUUGUACAGCAAAAGAAUUUUAACAGUACUUAUAAAGUUCAGAUCCAGGGCCUAAUACAUUUUCUAGUGAAACACACCUAAUGGAUAGCAGUAGGAGCUGGCUUUAUGACUUCUAAUAAAGUUUAGAUGAGAAUCUUCCUCAGCUACUGAAGCUAUGAAGAUCUAAGGCAAUGCUGACACCAAAUGUUUAAUAAUCAUUAGGUUUUCUCAUGGUGAAUUUAAUUUUUCUUUUUUAUUUUAAUACCACAGAAGAACUUCAGACCUUCUGUAUUUGUCCAAUAAGCAAAGAGCAAAGAUGUUAAACUUAUUUAGGGAGCUUUGGGUGCUAAAUGUAAAGAGAGAGACAAAAGUCUUUGAAGAUUAGAACCAAAAAAGUUGUUAAUCUGGUUGUGGAAAACUGUAUAAAUAACAAUAGAUGGCAUAAUAAUCUCUCCAGUAAAACAGCACACUCUUCAAUAAGUUGUACAGUUGAUAUACUGUGUUUUGAAGAGGCCAAUAUGGGCAAUAAUGAACAACCCACAAAGCUGAAUCUGGCACAGGAUAUCCUCCUUCUGACAGCUACUUUGGUUUUGUGGCAGUCUAUCUGUCCACAGUACUCAGCCUUCCAGCUGGUUUAUACAGUGUAAAAUUUACAAGCAGUACCAGUAAGUAGCUCACACAGCAAUGUCAGGGUUCUGAUGAAGGUUGCAAAUCUUUUCUCCAACAAAAGCAAGAAAAAAUUUGAAAGCAGAUGUAACUUGCUCCUCUUGUUUCAAGUAUGUUUUUCAGUUUGGUAGCCUCUCGUUGGAUAGCCUGCUUCUACUGCUGAAGGAACUUUUGAACUGUAACAUUCAGAAACAACAUCUGCUAUGUAUUCCAGUGUUAAGACAGGGUUGACAGUCUCACUGUUGCAGACUUAGAGAGAGCUCUUAGAAUGACAAAAGCACAGAAGAAAGAAGCUGUUCAGAAGACAAGAAACCAAGUAAAUAGGAGCCCCCCUAAUGGUUCAAAACUACUGUUUGAGUUCUGGGAUGACCCGUGUACAGCAGCAAGUGCUCUGCAGCACACAUCUGGAAGCAGUCAGAAGGCGGGACAGCAGAGUACCACCAUUUACUCCUCACUCUUACAGAAGCAUGGACAAGCCUGUCUUUCCAUGAGAUCAGCUGUGUGUUUGGAGUCUGUCUACACUGUUCUUCCAAUUUUCUUCAGAUUGCUAAAAUAGAGGGAAGCAGCAGACUUAUGGAAGAGAAGAUGAUGAAACUGCCUUGAGCAUCUCCCUAAUGAGGAAAGGCUGAGGGACCUGGUUCUGUUAAGCGUUAAGAAGACUGAGAGGUGAUCUUAUUCAUGUUAAUAACUAUCUUAAGCGUGGGAGUAAAAGGGACACGGCCAACAUGUUUUUGGUGGUCUGCGAGGACAAGACAAGGGGAAACGGCCAUAAACUGGAGCAUAAGAAGUUCUGUAACAAUAUGUGAAGGAACUUCUUUAUGGUUUGGUUGAUUGAACACUAGAACAGGCUGCCCAGUGUUGUUGUGGAUUUCUCCUUCUCUGGAGUUACUCAAGACCCACCUG